AUGUAAUGUACAAGAAGAAUUGGACUUAUUCUGUGUCGCUCCAGAGAAUAAAACUGAGCAGUGAGUGAAGGAGGCCGUUUUCCAUUUAAGCUCAUUCCUUCUUUCCUGCUCCAUUGAAGUCCUGAACCUGAUGUGUAGUCUCCAUAAACUACUGAUGGCAAACUGGGAAAGAAGAAAUCACUGGAAAUUCUUCCCAACAGCCAGGUCUGGAAAAUAAAAAGUGAUAUAUUAUGUUCAUUGAAACCUCUCACAAUUAGAACCCAGUAAUUUGAAGUCAUCUGGAAAUAAAAAUUAUAUCUUGGGAUGUGACUGUACUUAAAAAAUAAUAAUGGCUGGGAAAGGAAACACGAAGGCAGACAAAGAUUGGUGGUAUCCAGGGAGUGAGCUGAGAGGCGAAGUGGAUUGCAGAAGGUGGUGGUGCCUGCUCAGACCUUGACUGGGGCACAUUGAAAAGAAUGAAUUUUAUUGCAGCAUGACUACAAAGGAUUCUUUGGAAAUGAGACCCUGAAAUUGGUACUUUAAGCCAUCACCCCACAUACUUCUGAAGCAGAAAUCCGAGGUCGGCAGCACCCUGGAACAUCACUCAGGUUUCCUGCUUAAAGGCCGGGUUGAUUGAGGACUGGAUACAUCUAUAGAGAGUUCUGCAAAAAUCCAUCCCUCAUCUAUGAAAAAUUAUUCAUAGUACAUGAGAAUGAAAGAGCCUGACUAAGGACAUGAAUGUAUGAGAAAGGAAACAUGGACUCCCACACUCAUGUGAUCUUCAGAUUUCAAAGAAGCAAAGAUGUAAUGGUCUAUCCAAAGGUCUAUUUUGAAAGACAUUUUAAAGUUCGAUAUGUUAGAAAUCAAGUGAGAAAAAAAUAAAGACAACAGGACGUAA